rnacentral:lncRNA from 1 species
CUAAUUGAGUGGUUAGUUCCGCAACUUUGGAAGAAAAUUCCAUGAUCUCAUCCAAAUUAACAAAAUUAAGAGAGAAUGCUGCUACUAUUAAUGAACAGGACAAAAGAAAUUUUUUUUUUUUUUUUGCCCUUUUCACUCAGUUCUUAUGGGGUAAUUCAGAAAUUAGGAGGCGGAUUCAUUGGUGUAGAUGGCAUUCGGUUUGUCAUCCGGUUAAGGAGGGUGCUUGGGCAUCCGAUCUUUUAAUGAUCUGGCUCGGCUUUUCAGCUUAAACUUCGAUGGCAUUUUCAAGAAAAACGCUUUGUUUGGGCUUCUUUCAUGAAGUCCAAUUGCUGCAGAGCUAUGCACCCAAGGUUCGUUCAAUUUCAUUAUCUUGCUUCUUCGCUUUGGAGACAGCUUUGCUUGAUUCAAUGUGUUGCUGAGCCUCAUGUGUGGUUCGAUGGUUUGGCUAUGGGAUGUGUAGUUUCUAUACGAUUGUCAGUUGCACUCUUGUCCUUUUUUGUUUUUGUUUUUUCAUAAUUUCAAUACGGCUUAUAUAGUGCCAAUUUUCUUUUAUUGGUAGUGUACUGUCUAGGAUAUGGGUAAGCUCUAUGAUGUGUUGCCCUCAUCGAUUGUUGAAUAGAUUAUGUUGAUUCUUAUUUCUAGAAUGGGUACAGACAUGAUUCGUUAGGAUCCUCCUCAUGAUGGUGAUUUCUGUUUACGGAUAGCUUGGAAGCUUGUUCGUGGCUCUCGGCCGUGGGAUUAUGUUUUUUCUAUUAUAUGGCAGUAGCAUAUUCCUACUCUUUUUUUUCCUCCUCUAGUGGGUAUUACAUGGCUUUUUGGCUACUAACGAUGCCUUGUGCUCGAGGGAAUUUUAUAUGUUUUCUCAGUGUCUCUAUGGUCAAGCUAUUAAGACUUAUUGGCAUCUUUUUCUCAAUUGCCCGUUGAGUAGACAAGUUUGGCACCAUUUUCUCCAUGCUUUUGGUUUGUGGCAUGUUGUCUAUUUGUUCCCCCAUGCUCUUCUAAUUCAUUGGUAGUGUUGUGCUCCCUCUCAAAAUCAUCUUCAAGCACUCCUCCUUUGCUUCAUUUUGCAGCAUGUCUGGAAUGCUCUUAAUACUUUUAAGUUCUACUCAAUGGCUUUUUCUUUGGAUAUGGUUAUUUAUCAGGUAACGUUGGACCUCAGGCUAGCUAAGUCAGCCUUUAGCUUUAAACAUUCCCAACAACGGGGAGUUUUCGAUUCUUGAAUUAGGGAGGAAUUGAGAGUUAUUGGUCCAUUUAGGAGGCCAAUUAGAUUAAUUUCUUCGUUGCGGCCGUCGCCUGAGGUGGUGAAGUUGAUUGUGGAUGGUUACUCUAGAGGCAAUCAUAAGUUGUCGACUACGGGUGGUAUCCUUCGUGAUCACCAUGGUAUGGUCCUCGCUGCUUUUGGUUUUUUUUUUUUUCUAGGUCAUCAACGAAUCCUUCUAGGUCAUCAACGAAUCCUUUAUAUUAGGGUGGUAUCCUUCGUGAUCACCAUGGUAUGGUCCUCGCUGCUUUUGGUUUUUUUUUUUUUCUAGGUCAUCAACGAAUCCUUUAUAUUAAGCUGAUGGCGAUUUUUGAGGGUUUAAAGCUUGUUGCUCAGCUUGGUAACUCUAUACUAGAGGUAGAGUCUGACUCAGCUACUGUAGUCUCUUGAAUUCAAUCUUCGGCCUAUGGGCAUUGGGCUUAUGUAAAUAUUUUGCAUCGAGUUCGAAUCCUGUCCUCAACUCCCUCUAUCUUGGUUAGACAUGUUUUCUAAGAGGCAACUUCUGCGGUUAAUUUUAUUAAGAAUGGUCAGCACCACUCUUCUAGAAGAGCUAGUGGUGGUGCCAUGAAUUAUUUUUAGCGAGGGCUAAGUUCAAAUAGUAAUUUAAUUUAAGAAAAUGAUCCACAAAUAAUAUAUAUCAAAAUAAAAAUUCAUUAAAAUAUUUAAUUCAAUACACAUACAACUGUCCUCAACGAGGUUUUAUAUAGGUUGAAAAUGUUAAAAAAUAACCUCAUUAGCAAGGAUACAAAAUAUAUCUUUUUCUAUGUAUAUAGUAAGACUGUCAUUCAACCAUUGAUCUUUCAUCCGAUUUCACAUACGAUUUUUCACAAAAUUCGUAGUUGAAAAUGCUCUUUCUACUGUAGCUAUGACAACUGGUAAAAUCAAUGCUAAUGUCACCAAUAAAUACACUAAUGAAUAUAAUUUAUCCUUGUUACCAAUAAAAACACUAAUAAAUAUAAUUUAUCCUUGUUAAUCUCAAACAAUUUUUUUGCUAGCUCACCAAUCCCUUUCAAUCCUGAAAAUUUGUUGUCAGAACCCACAUCCAUAAUGUAAACAUCAAGUUGAGUGUGAGCUGCGAAGAUACGGUGGUGCCAGGCUGCGAGUGUGAACUGCAGGUUGUAGCGUCUGUGGCAUGAAAACAAAGAAGUGUGAUAAAGUGGG